rnacentral:rRNA from 1 species
AUUGAACGCUGGCGGCAUGCCUUACACAUGCAAGUCGAACGGCAGCGCGGGGCAACCUGGCGGCGAGUGGCGAACGGGUGAGUAAUAUAUCGGAACAUACCCUAGAGUGGGGGAUAACGUAGCGAAAGUUACGCUAAUACCGCAUACGCACUAAGGUGGAAAGUGGGGGAUUCGCAAGAACCUCAUGCUCAUGGAGUGGCCGAUAUCUGAUUAGCUAGUUGGUGAGGUAAAGGCUCACCAAGGCGACGAUCAGUAGCUGGUUUGAGAGAACGACCAGCCACACUGGAACUGAGACACGGUCCAGACUCCUAGGCGGGACGCGACGACGUAGGGGUAA